GUGAGGAAUAUUGGACAAUGGGCGCAAGCCUGAUCCAGCCAUGCCGCGUGCAGGAAGACGCAUCUAUGGUGUGUAAACUGCUUUUGUACGGGAAGAAACACUCCCUCGUGAGGGAGCUUGACGGUACCGUAAGAAUAAGGAUCGGCUAACUCCGUGCCAGCAGCCGCGGUAAUACGGAGGAUCCAAGCGUUAUCCGGAAUCAUUGGGUUUAAAGGGUCCGUAGGCGGUUUAAUAAGUCAGUGGUGAAAGCCCAUCGCUCAACGAUGGAACGGCCAUUGAUACUAUUAGACUUGAAUUACAAGGAAGUAACUAGAAUAUGUAGUGUAGCGGUGAAAUGCUUAGAUAUUACAUGGAAGACCAAUUGCGAAGGCAGGUUACUACUUGUGGAUUGACGCUGAUGGACGAAAGCGUGGGGAGCGAACAGGAUUAGAAACCCGUGUAGUCC
rnacentral:rRNA from 1 species